rnacentral:rRNA from 1 species
GAUGAACGCUGGCGGCGUGCCUAAUACAUGCAAGUCGAGCGAACAGACGAGGAGCUUGCUCCUCUGACGUUAGCGGCGGACGGGUGAGUAACACGUGGAUAACCUACCUAUAAGACUGGGAUAACUUCGGGAAACCGGAGCUAAUACCGGAUAAUAUAUUGAACCGCAUGGUUCAAUAGUGAAAGACGGUUUUGCUGUCACUUAUAGAUGGAUCCGCGCCGCAUUAGCUAGUUGGUAAGGUAACGGCUUACCAAGGCGACGAUGCGUAGCCGACCUGAGAGGGUGAUCGGCCACACUGGAGCUGAGACACGGUCCAGACUCCUACGGGAGGCAGCAGUAGGGAAUCUUCCGCAAUGGGCGAAAGCCUGACGGAGCAACGCCGCGUGAGUGAUGAAGGUCUUCGGAUCGUAAAACUCUGUUAUUAGGGAAGAACAAAUGUGUAAGUAACUAUGCACGUCUUGACGGUACCUAAUCAGAAAGCCACGGCUAACUACGU